UACGAAGGGGGCUAGCGUUGCUCGGAAUCACUGGGCGUAAAGCGCACGUAGGCGGAUUGUUAAGUCAGGGGUGAAAUCCUGGAGCUCAACUCCAGAACUGCCUUUGAUACUGGCGAUCUUGAGUCCGGGAGAGGUGAGUGGAACUGCGAGUGUAGAGGUGAAAUUCGUAGAUAUUCGCAAGAACACCAGUGGCGAAGGCGGCUCACUGGCCCGGUACUGACGCUGAGGUGCGAAAGCGUGGGGAGCAAAGCAGG
rnacentral:rRNA from 1 species